CCUACGGGAGGCAGCAGUGGGGGAUAUUGCACAAUGGGGGAAACCCUGAUGCAGCGACGCCGCGUGUGGGAAGACGGUCCUCUGGAUUGUAAACCACUGUUCCCAGGGACGAAGAUGCCGGUACCUGGGGAGGAAGCUCCGGCUAACUACGUGCCAGCAGCCGCGGUACUACGUAGGGAGCAAGGGUUGUCCGGAAUUACUGGGUGAAACGGGAGCGUAGGCGGGAUGGCAAGUUGGGUGUUAAAUCUACCGGCUCAACUGGUAGUCGCACUCAAAACUGCGAUUCUUGAGUGAAGUAGAGGCAGGCGGAAUUCCUAGUGUAGCGGUGAAAUGCGUAGAUAUUAGGAGGAACACCAGUGGCGAAGGCGGCCUGCUGGGCUUUUACUGACGCUGAGGCUCGAAAGUGUGGGGAGCAAACAGGAUUAGAUACCCUUGUAGUC
rnacentral:rRNA from 1 species